AGGAGAAUCUGGAGUUGGCAAGUCGGCCAUUAUUAACCACAUGUUAGGCAGACUGGGAUAAGAUGGUGCAACAUCCACUAAGAGUGGCACCGUGCUGGGUCAGAUCCUCAGCUACUCAGACAAGACCAACACGCUACUGGAGAGUAUCUCAAAACUCACAGAAAUGGACAACAAUGACUAGUCCAAAUGUAUCAACGUCCUUCUGGGAACAGCCAAACCUAAAAGUUCUGCUGGAGUGAUCAGUUUUAUGUUUCAGUUCUCAGCUCAGACGACAGCAGCUAGACUUAAGGCUCACAUCAUGCACAAACUCAUCAAGAAGGGCAGGGACACUGGGGGCUCCCUGGGGGAAAAAGGUGCUGGUGUUUGUGGAUGAUUUGAACAUGCCGGCCGCUGAGGUAUAUGGAGCCCAGCCACCCCUAGAGUUACUGAUGCAGUUCUUGGAACUUGGUGGAUUUUAUCAUGCUGGGAAAGCUCAUCUUGUAUGGGAGGAUAUUUAUAACGUCCAUGUGGUGGCAGCCUGUGGACCACUAGGUGGAGGCAGGAACCCCAUCCGUUCAAGGCUCCUAAAACACUUCAGGGCCUUAUCAUGAAUAUCAUAUUUAUCAUGUAUGACAGGAUUUGAAAUCAUACAAUAUAACCUGCUGAACUUUCAAAACUGCGUUGUUAUAUUUCACUUAGCAACAGAGGUUUGCAUUUGAAGCUUCCCAGUUUGUGAUGGAAUUUCUGACAAACCAGUGUUCAGUGUGCUAUUUUUAUUCGUCAUGGGAUUUAAACAGUGCUAUUCAAUUAAUUAUUGGUGAGCAUUAUUGGUGAAUAGUGAGAACUACUCGUUACACCUGAGUGACGCGCACCUGUUGGCGGAUCUUGGUUCAAGAAUGGAAAAACCCGGGAAAUAGUUACUUCCUGAAGUGAAAGCAAGCAUAGACUGAGGUGGAUCCAAGCUUUAUAGAUUUACAAUCAACACUAUUUUCAUUUGGAUUUUCGCUUUUAUAUGGACUCAGACAGUCCGAUGACUAUGAAAAUUUCCUACCAGUGAUGUGAUUCAAUUUACAACGAAGAACGAACAUGAGGCCUAGAAAAAAAAAUAUGUUUGCUUCCGCUUUCCCGACCGACCCUAAUUUAUAGUGCCAACCCUAAUUUUUUUUUUAAUGCUUUUGUUCCAUGAUGUGCAAGAUUUCACCCAGGGAGUUAUAGUCUCCAACUUUGCAUGCUUUUUAAGAUAGAAAGAAGUUUGAGUCACCUUUCUAUUAUAAGUUUAAGUAACAGAAAUGCUUGAAAACACCAUUUCUUUUGUCAUUAAUGUUACUUCUAUACAAGUUUUGAUUAAAGAAGUAA